UGCAAAAAAGGCGUUGAAGUGAUUCGUCGAAGUCAAUUCAGUAUAACAAUAUUUUAUAUAGUUAAUUUACGAUAAAGGAAGGAAAACAUUUCCCUCGCAAAAGAAGCGAAUUAUCCAUCAGAAUUGUAGAUUCAAAUCAUAUAUUUCAAACGCUGAAUGCAAUUCGCAUCAUGAAGUUAAUAGAGAAUCAUAUUCUGCUAGCGAUUGUUGAUUAAGAGGAGACAUACUUUCGUCGGGUUCAAUGGUCUGAAUAGCAUCCGACAUUAUACCAUAAAAACGAUAAUGAGUAUCUUCAACCUCGUCUGUAUUGGGAGUAAGAGGUUGAAUCAAAAUUAAUGUUCCAGUCAAGGGAUCACAGUUCCAAAGAAAUCCUUCUACUGGUAAACGUCCAUUCUUAAACAGGACGCGCAGGUAAGAACCUCUACGCUUUUCUGUUGUGUGAGAAUCCAUUUCAUUAAUUAUUCAAAUAAUGUGAGAAAACAAAAAAGAUAAAAAAAACAUUAAUAAAAACCAAACUUUUUAAAACACGGUUUAUGUUCAG